rnacentral:rRNA from 1 species
UGAAUACGAGAUGCUAAGGCGUCGAAGUAGUGUAUGUCAUACUUCCAAGAAAAGCUUGCACUGUCAUAAAUAAGAAAUGCCUGUACCAUAACCGACACAGGUGGGUAAGUAGAGUAUACUAAGGGGCGCGAGAUAACUCUCUCUAAGGAACUCGGCAAAAUAACUCCGUAACUUCGGGAGAAGGAGUGCCUUAUUCUUAAGGUUGCAAUAACAAGAUCCAAGCAACUGUUUAUCAAAAACACAGGUCUCCGCUAAGUCGUAAGACGAUGUAUGGGGGCUGACGCCUGCCCAGUGCCAGAAGGUUAAAGAAGUUGGUUAGCAAUUGCGAAGCUGGUAACUGAAGCCCUGGUGAACGGCGGCCGUAACAAUAACGGUCCUAAGGUAGCGAAAUUCCUUGUCGGGUAAGUUCCGACCCGCACGAAAGGCGUAAUGAUUUGGAUGCUGUCUCGGAGAGGGGCUCGGUGAAAUAGACUUGUCUGUGAAGAUGCGGACUACCUGCACCAGGACAGAAAGACCCUAUGAAGCUUUACUGUAACUUGAAAUUGAAAUUGGACUUUAUUUGCGCAGUAUAGGUGGGAGGCGUUGAUUAUAAUCUUGCGGGAUUAUUGGAGCCAUCAGUGAGAUACCACUCUUGUAAUGUUAGAUUUCUAACUUUGAAUCAUUAUCUGGUCAAAGGACAAUUUCAGGCGGGCAGUUUGACUGGGGCGGUCGCCUCCUAAAUGGUAACGGAGGCGUACAAAGGUUUCCUCUGAACGGUUAGAAAUCGUAUCUAGAGUGUAAAGGCAUAAGGAAGCUUGACUGUGAGACCUACAAGUCGAGCAGGGACGAAAGUCGGUCUUAGUGAUCUGACGGUACUGAGUGGAAAGGCCGUCACUCAACGGAUAAAAGUUACUCUAGGAUAACAGGCUGAUCUCCCCCAAGAGUUCACAUCGACGGGGAGGUUUGGCACCUCGAUGUCGGCUCAUCGCAUCCUGGGGCGGUAGUACGUCCCAAGGGUUGGGCUGUUCGCCCAUGAAAGCGGUACGCGAGCUGGGUUCAGAACGUCGUGAGACAGUUCGGUCCAUAUCCGGUGUAGGCGUUAGAAUAUUGAGAGGAGCCUUCUUUAGUACGAGAGGACCGAGAAGGACAUACCUCUGGUGUACCAGUUAUCGUGCCAACGGUAAACGCUGGGUAGCUAUGUAUGGAGUGGAUAACCGCUGAAAGCAUCUAAGUGGGAAGCCCACCUCAAGAUAAG